GCUGAGUGUGGUGGUGCACACUUGUAGUCCCAGCUACUUGGGAGGCUGAGGUGGGAGAAUUGCUUGAGCCCAGAAGGUUGAGGCUGCAGUAAGCCAUAAUUGUGCUACUGCACUCCAACCUGGGCAACAGAGUAAGACUCUGUCUUCA
rnacentral:SRP_RNA from 1 species